AAAAAGGUAAGCUAAUUAAGCUAGUGGGUUCAUACCCCGCCUAUAAAGGCUCCAACCCUUUCCUUUUUA
rnacentral:tRNA from 1 species